GAUGAACGCUGGCGGCGUGCCUAAUACAUGCAAGUCGAGCGAACGGACGAGAAGCUUGCUUCUCUGAUGUUAGCGGCGGACGGGUGAGUAACACGUGGAUAACCUACCUAUAAGACUGGGAUAACUUCGGGAAACCGUAGCUAAUACCGGAUAAUAUUUUGAACCGCAUGGUUCAAAAGUGAAAGACGGUCUUGCUGUCACUUAUAGAUGGAUCCGCGCUGCAUUAGCUAGUUGGUAAGGUAACGGCUUACCAAGGCAACGAUGCAUAGCCGACCUGAGAGGGUGAUCGGCCACACUGGAACUGAGACACGGUCCAGACUCCUACUGAAGGCAGCAGUAUGGAAUCUUCCGCAAUGGGCGAAAGCCUGACGGAGCAGCGCCGCGUGAGUGAUGAAGGUCUUCGGAUCGUAAGACUCUGUUAUUAGGGAAGAACAUAUGUGUAAGUAACUGUGCACAUCUUGACGGUACCUAAUCAGAAAGCCACGGCUAACUACGUG
rnacentral:rRNA from 1 species